rnacentral:lncRNA from 13 species
UCUGCCAGUGCUCACAGGGUAGGAGAUGAUCAUCCAUUCUGACUUGUCCCAUCAAUGGAAACAGAAUCAAGCGUGCUGAUGCUUCUUAAAUGCCUCAAUCAAGUAGCCAUGACCAGAAAGGCCCAUUCAUCCUUUUACACCUUCAACCGCAGCCUUCUUCAGAGUAAGUUCCUUACUUAUUUCUCUUACUUGGACUCCUGGUUUUCUUGGGGGCUCCAUUUAUUCUCUUGCUUCCAGGAUAUCUUUAUUUUAAGUCCUGCUUACCCUUGAAAUUGAACGUACCAAAAUAGCUCACUGUCUAACAGUCAGAAUCAACAC